AACGAACGCUGGCGGCAGGCUUAACACAUGCAAGUCGAACGCCCCGCAAGGGGAGUGGCAGACGGGUGAGUAACGCGUGGGAAUCUACCUAGUUCUACGGAACAACAGUUGGAAACGACUGCUAAUACCGUAUACGCCCUACGGGGGAAAGAUUUAUCGGAAUUAGAUGAGCCCGCGUAAGAUUAGCUAGUUGGUGAGGUAAUGGCUCACCAAGGCGACGAUCUUUAGCUGGUCUGAGAGGAUGAUCAGCCACACUGGGACUGAGACACGGCCCAGGCUCCUACGGGAGGCAGCAGUGGGGAAUAUUGGACAAUGGGCGCAAGCCUGAUCCAGCCAUGCCGCGUGAGUGAUGAAGGCCUUAGGGUUGUAAAGCUCUUUCAGUAGGGAAGAUAAUGACGGUACCUACAGAAGAAGCCCCGGCUAACUUCGUGCCAGCAGCCGCCGUAAUAC
rnacentral:rRNA from 1 species